rnacentral:rRNA from 1 species
UACGAAGGGGGCUAGCGUUGUUCGGAUUUACUGGGCGUAAAGCGCACGUAGGCGGAUCGAUCAGUCAGGGGUGAAAUCCCAGAGCUCAACUCUGGAACUGCCUUUGAUACUGUCGAUCUGGAGUAUGGAAGAGGUGAGUGGAAUUCCGAGUGUAGAGGUGAAAUGCGCAGAUAUCAGGAGGAACACCAAUGGCGAAGGCAGCUCGCUGGGACGUUACUGACACUAAGGCGCGAAAGCGUGGGGAGCGAACAGG